ACAAAGCGGAUAGCAGGAUUCUUGUAGUCCGACAAUGCUGCAAUCCGCCAUAUUGAGAAAACCACACCCUUUUUUAACAUUGUCUCUUAUGGAAGUAUUUUUCAAAGUGUUUUUUCUCUUAACUGGAUAACAACUUCGACCAAAGAAAAAUAUUAAAAAAUACUACAUCAUUCAGAUUGUCAUGAGUGACGAGGUAUUGGUGGAAAAUGCUGUAAUCCAAUUAUUCGACCUCUCCAACUGCCAACCGAGGCAAAAGAACGCUAUCUUUCGAAGUUGACAAGCAUCUUAUGCCAGAAUGAUCAAUCAAAUUUCCCAAUGUGAAUUUGCUGCCACAAAAUCCUUGAGGUACUGUGAAAUGAACACUGCAGAGCGUUAACACCAUGAUGACCUUUACAACCACAUUGAAGAAGGAAUUUUGUCAGCUCAAAAAGACAUUGAAGCAAUCAAGAAGGAGUUGCAUGAAGCAAGACAGAUUCGUAGGAAUAAAAUGGAAUAUGAUGCUUUGGCUGCCAUUAUUCAAACACAGCCUGAUCGAAAG